GCUGGGUGUAGUGACGAAUGCCUGUAAUCCCAGCUACUCAGGAGGCUGAGGCAUAAGAAUCACUUGAGCCCAGGAAGCUAAGGUUGCAGUGAGCCAAGAUCGUGCCACUGCACUCCAGCCUGGGCAACAGAAUGAGACUCUGCCUCAA
rfam:Gorilla gorilla gorilla genomic chromosome, chr19, whole genome shotgun sequence